CAGUGAGGACAAAGCAUGCCAGCUCGUUUGCUCAACAACCGCACUCAUGCCGCAAAUUAUUAAGGAUUUUAGCAGUACUAUUUCAGUUUGGUGCUGAACCUACUGCGUAAACAAAUACGCAGUAGGUGACAGCUGAACUGAUGAAGCUUUUGGGUUUCUGCACGAGGUUCGGUUUGCGCAGUAAUUAAUAUGGAUGCACAACCAGUCGUCAUCAACUCAGAUCAUACAUCCUUUUGUAGGGAAAUCAAUAUUGUUUUUAUACAAGGCAUCAAAAAGGUUUACAAGAGCUUUUAUACUCAAAUUAUAAAUAAGCUUGGCAGGGUGGUAAUUACUCAUAAAACUGUCAAUCCUGAAGCUCUUAAUGGAUGCUAGACGCCAACCUUGUUUCAUUCAUUUGCAUCCUAUAUUUGCAUACCCAGGCAUAUAUAGGAUGCUCUUCUCCUCGUGAUGUAGUAACGAUCUUUUAUGGCGCUUAAGGUUGGUUUUGGCUAAAUUUUUUUAAAUAAUACAUUUUUUUAUUAAUUUGCACAAAUAUUAUGCUUAAAAAAAGAAUUUUAGAAAUAAUACACCGUCGGCCUGCUGCGGACCGACUGGGCCUAGUCGGCCCACAGCAGGCCGAUUGGGUGCACUCGGCCAGUAGCAGGCCGACAGCUGGCCAGCCUGCGACGUGUCGCGCGUGGAUUGGGCAGGCCACGUCGCGAGGGGGGUGAGAGGGAGCUGUCGGCGCGGCUGUCAGGGGGCGAGCCCCUGUCGGCUUAUUGCGGGCCGAUCGGCCAGCUGCGGGCCGACAGGGUGUGGACCCACCUCGCGCGGCAGCAGGCUCCCUGCGUCUUCUUCCUCCUCCCACGCACGCGAGCGUUCUUCUUCUUCUGUUCUUUCCUUCUCCUCUCUGUACACCAAAAUGCCCUCAAUUUCUACACCUAAAUGAACCAUUUAUUUGCGGAUUUGGCACCGUGAAUGGAUUCUACUCAGUGAGGGCAACCAAAAGAGACCUCGAUCUACUGAUGGGGUAGCUCGUGGCGGUCGUGGUGAGCAUUUAGGUGGAGUUUUUUUCCAGCUCAUUGGUGGAGCUUGUUGCGGCGGUGCAGGUGGAGGUGGUGGUGGAGAAGUUGGGGCAGUGUGGUGGAGGCGGUGGAGGUGAAGCUCCGGCAGUUUGGUGGAGUUUCCCGCUCCGAUUCCGGUGAUUGAAGGCCGACGUUCGUCGUUCGCACGCACGCUUCAAGGGAAUGUCGGGAAUGUGGUUGCUGAAUGGGGACAUUGAUAGGGGUCAUCGUGGUGUGAUAUGGUAUAAGCGCAAGCUUGAGCCUCUGGUCACUCGCACUCCUAAGGAAAACUGGAUGAUACACCCAGGAUGGCUUCAGCGGUUGAAAUGGGCCGGCCUUUUACCUUUCGCACGUCUGGUUGAGUCUAUCCCGGGUGAGAAACGCAUCUCCAUCGACGGGUCCUUGCUGAGCUGCUUAGUGGACCGUUGGAGGCCAGAGACCCACACGUUUCACUUUCAAUGGGGAGAGAUGGCUCCUACUCUGGAGGAUGUGUCACUUUUGCUCGGACUACCGUUGGCAGGUCAUGCCAUAGGACCGUUGGACGCACCGGCUGGUUGGGAGCGAGCCCUUACACAACGUUUUCAUGGUGUUUUUCCGGAUGCUCCGGAUCCGGUAUGGGAGCAUCACGAACCUAAGUAUGAGUAGUUGCUCAAUUUUCGGAUCCAAAACUUCCGGGCGCCGUUGACUGCGGAACAGAUCACUCGGAGCCUGGAGGCCUACUUGAUGUGGCUUUUCGGCAAGGUGAUGUUCACAGAGAACCAUGUCACCACUAUUAGCGUGCUCUACAUCCCUAUGGCACUCGAGAUAGCGAGCGCUCAGACGACGGAUCAGAUCAGACAGAGGAGUUGGGGUUCGGCGGUCUUAGCGGCUACAUACCGAGGUAUGUGCAACGGUUGCCAGCUUACAU